CGCUGGGCCAAUUGUGCGCCGCCCUAUGGACUCUACACAGCCUGGACUCUAACCAGGAUCUCUAGUGGCACAGCUACUUAGACCACUGCUCCACUCGGGAGGCUGUAUUGACGUUGCUGCUGUGGUCAGUCCAAGAGAGAAGGACAAAGACACUGAGAUGGAGGAACCACCGGGAUCACAUUCCCUCUUCUGUUUCUUUAACUUAUUACCUUUCCAACUGUGUGUGUGUGUGUGUGUGUGUGUGUGUGUGUGUGUGUGUGUGUGUGUGUGUGUGUGUGUGUGUGUGUGUGUGUGUGUGUGUGUGUGUGUGUGUGUGUGUGUGUGUGUGUAUACAUUUUGGUGGGUGACACCUCCAAUUUCAGUUUUAUAAUUUGCCAUUUUUGUUGACUUUUAUAAUGUUAUGAUACUCAUAUAUCGUUGACACAUUUACAAUACCCUUAAUCAUCAAGGGACUUUACAAUACUAUUGAUAUAUACUGUGGCUUGUGUUUCUAACUACCUAUGUGAGAAUGUAUAUUUGUGUGUACAGUAUACUCAUAUUUAGAAAAAAUAUAUCACGGACUCCAAGAAAGCUUACAUUCUUUCACAAACAUGCUGCACUUGCAUGUAUUCACGCACGCAUGCACAAACUCACACGUACACACACACACACGUACACACACACACGUACACACACACUGGACAGUUUCACUCACAACACAAACUUGAACUGAGAAUGACAAGCGGUGGUAAUGUUUCUCUUGAACUUUGAACUGUUCCUCCUGUGUAACUGUCAGGCCAGGGUCAAAUGGCAUCAAAUCAAUAAUAAUCAUAAGAGCAAUGGUAGUAAUACUGUAAUAGUGAUACUGGUGAUAAUAAUCCGUCUCUGCUGGAGAUGAUGCAUACACACAAAGCAAUGAGCGUCGAUGACAUCGUGAAGAGUCACAUGUUAUAUGGUACAUUCGCUGUGGUUCGUCUCAAGUGUAUGUGGGUGUGUUAUAUCUGUGUGAUUGCGUGUGCAUCAAACAUGGGCAAUACCCUUCAUUGGUGCUUCCAUGUAGGCCAUGAGGUACUGUUAUCUUGUUGUGCACUGUAUCUAGAUGGUAAAACACAAUGGCAAUAGGCUCAGUGGGAUUUUGAUCUGGUUACUUCGACCCGUGACAAUCCUCUUCUCCUCCACGUCCUUUGAACCGUCACCGUCCAGUAAUGUACUGUAUAUCAGACGUCAUCACAAAUGUUUUUUAGACGAUUACGUCAUUGGCUGUUUGUCUCAGCUAUCACGUCAAUACAAUUACUAGGAGCACUUUUUCUUUAUAUCGUGUGAUAUUGAUCUAACAAAUAGUUUUGUUUCAUUGGCUGGUACAAAGAUCUCUUUGUGUUCGAUUUACAACUGGGUGUUGUUUUGUAUAAAAAUACCUGCUCAUAUUAGUCAUGUGUGAGCUAGGUAAUAUAGCAAUGACCAGUAACAUGGAGAAUAUGGGUUCCUGUUUUAUGGAUUGAUUUGAAAUCUACCACUAAUCUGAAUGGGCCUGUACUGUUCACAAGUAGAGGGGGAGGAGAGUUCUGAGUGAGAUAUCAUGGACACACACUGACGAUCAGGAGAGAUUCGUUUUCUUAAUCCACUCUGACACCCUUAGAAAGACGUGUGUGUGCACUCACACACACACUAACACACACACGCAUGAGAAUACAUGAGAGACAGUCACAGGUAUUAUACUGUAGACACUUGGCCACACACAGUCCCUCUCCAGCCCUGCCUCACCUGCUAGUCUAUCAUAGAGGGAGGAGGAGGACACGCUAAAAGGAAAGGAGUCUUGUAGAAGGCUUUGACAUAGUUCUCCAUAUGGCCAAGUCCAUGUUGUGUUACAGCUUUAAUUGUCCCACUGUUACGGUUUUCUUCCGUCGAAAGAGAGUCGGACCAAAAUGCAGCGUGGUUAAUACGAUACAUGUUUAAUGACGAAUAAACACGACAAUACAAAAACAACAAACGGAACGUGAAAACCUAUACAGCCUAUCUGGUGACAACUAACACAAAGACAGGAACAAUCACCCACGAAACACUCAAAGAAUAUGGCUGCCUAAAUAUGGUUCCCAAUCAGAGACAACGAGAAUCACCUGCCUCUGAUUGAGAACCGCCUCAGGCAACCAUAGACUUUGCUAGAACACCCCACUAAGCCACAAUCCCAAAACCUAUGAAAAACCCCCAUACAUAAACACAACACAAAAUGAACCCAUGUCACACCCUGGCCUGACCAAAUAAAUAAAGAAAACACAAAAUACUAAGACCAGGGCGUGACACCCACCAUCUCUAGUGGUGGUCGGUGUGGUAUAGAGCACUCAAGGCAACGACAGAGAAACACAGUGAUAGUGACAACUUGUGUCAUUAGCUUUUUGAGAAUGCACUUUCUACUUGCCCUACUGUACAUUCCAGCUUAUUAAAAAUGUCACUUUUUGCACCUGUGUUGUCCUUAAUCACAUGCCCUUGCCUGCACAGACUAGAAAUAUCAGUGCCCUGCCUUGUCAACCAUAGUAUAGGCCAACAGAUCCCAGUUUCCAACCCCAGUGAGACUUUUUAAGGAGAACUACUACAAAUACUUGAAGUGAUUUCAUCGAACUUCAGUGUCAUUCCUGGUGGGGCAAGAGAUUCUGUGUUGUGGUAGUGAAGACGGUGAGGAAGGAUGGAGAGUAGAGUGGCGUCUUCAGGUGACUGAAGCAGUGUGACAGAGGAGGGUUAAUACCAGAGAGCUCUGCUGAGAUAGAUCGCCCAGCUCGCUCUGCUCGGCCUUGCAUGGCUUUAUGGGAUACAGGAGGUAUUAAGCAGCUGAAUAAUUAUUGUUGAUACGUUACUCUCCUGCUUUCUGUCUGUGUGGCAUAUCACUUUUCUUUCCCCCCCUUUUUAUUUUGUGCCUUUGUGUCCCAGAAGUUUCUUCCUUUGCCUCCUGCCCGCGACAUCACAUAAACAUGAAAAUACUGUAUAUGUAUUGGACUACCUGCCUGCCUGCGUGGGUGGAGUUCCUGAAAGCUAUUUUUUUCUCCUUUGGGAACAAAAAGCAUUUUCUCUAUGAAGGGAAAUCUUGGGAAAGAAGUAGUGAAAUUGCACAUUGAGCACUGUGGUGGUCGAAAUUAUGAACAUUUUAAUGGGGCCUACUAGCAUUUUAAUGUUACCAUUGGUUCUUGCUUGUAAAGUUAACUUCCAGAUGUUUAAUAAAAUCCAUUUACAAAUACACCAUUCAAAUCUGAAUUGGGGAAUGGCUUAAGAUGGAUCUGUUUGCUAUACUGGCCAUGCUACGGAAUGUGCACAUUCUGAGUCAUAUUUCGAGAUACAUGUCAAUAUUUAAUCAUUUUGUAUCCUUUGUUAUAAACUGUCUCACUAGGCUGUAUAUAAAAGGGGAGGUGAAACGCCUUGUGUAAAAUUUAAUAGUGACGCUUGUACUAUGUUUGCGUACAUACAGGGUCACGCGUGUCUCCUUUGCGCCAUAAAAGAGAGGAUUCGUAUUAAAUAUAUAUGGAUAUAUACACAUACAGUAUAUUUUUUGGCCUUGUCAGUUUCUUAACUGCGUAGACGUACAGUAUAUGUUGGGAAAGGCGUUUUGGAACCAGACAUGCAACCCCCGCUGUACUCAACACUGAAUCUGUGUUUUACAGUACAAAAAAAAGCUUCUCUUGCGUAUCUAUUUUUUCUUUUUUUGUAUAAUGCUCUGAAAAUACAUCAUUUUUCACAAGUGGUUUCGGACAUAGAAGAACUGUUACCGGUCACUUUAUAAACUGAAACUUAGGAUAUAAUAGUAGAAUAGCUGUUGCAUUACCUAUUUGUUACGACCUGUAUGUAAUGUUAUUAUGGAAGAUGUAAUGUCCUUCUGUAAAUGUUGUUUAUUGUUGGUUUACCUGAAAUAAAU
ensembl:lncRNA